UCCAUUCACUCCUUCCUUCCCGACUAUUGG
rnacentral:piRNA from 1 species